rnacentral:rRNA from 1 species
UUGAACGCUGGCGGCAUGCCUUACCCAUGCAAGUCGCACGGCAGCACGGGUGCUUGCACCUGGUGGCGAGUGGCGAACGGGUGAGUAAUACAUCGGAACAUGUCCUGUAGUGGGGGAUAGCCCGGCGAAAGCCGGAUUAAUACCGCAUACGAUCUACGGAUGAAAGCGGGGGACCUUCGGGCCUCGCGCUAUAGGGUUGGCCGAUGGCUGAUUAGCUAGUUGGUGGGGUAAAGGCCUACCAAGGCGACGAUCAGUAGCUGGUCUGAGAGGACGACCAGCCACACUGGGACUGAGACACGGCCCAGACUCCUACGGGAGGCAGCAGUGGGGAAUUUUGGACAAUGGGCGAAAGCCUGAUCCAGCAAUGCCGCGUGUGUGAAGAAGGCCUUCGGGUUGUAAAGCACGUUUGUCCGGAAAGAAAUCCUUGGCCCUAAUACGGUCGGGGGGAUGACGGUACCGGAAGAAUAAGCACCGGCUAACUACGUG